CACGUAGGGGGCUAGCGUUGUCCGGAAUCAUUGGGCGUAAAGCGCGUGUAGGCGGCCAGAUAAGUCCGGGGUGAAAUCCCACGGCUCAAACCGGUGGAACUGCCUCGGAUACGGGCGGUCUUGAGGGGGUAGGGGCACGCGGAACUGGUGGGUGGAGCGGUGAAAUGCGUUGAUAUCCACAGGAACGUCCGGUGGCGAAGGCGGCGUGCCUGGACCCAUCUGACGCUGAGGCGCGAAAGCC
rnacentral:rRNA from 1 species